CACUUCCUGGGGCCGCCGGCCGGGGCCGCUGGCUGCACUCAGCGCCGGAGCCGGGAGCUAGCGGCCGCCGCCAUGUCCCACCAGACCGGCAUCCAAGGUAACAGCGCCCGGCGCGACUCGCAGGGAAGGGGCUUCCGGGAGAGCCGGGAGAGCCGGGAGGGCUGCAGGACCGGCAGGGCUGGAGUCGGGCCGGGAGCUCCGGAAGUCGGUCUCGCGGGGCGAGCCGGGCCUCGGCGCCUCUCCGCGCUCCUGCUUCCCGGGCGCUGCCGGCCUGCGUCCUCCUCCAGCCCGGUCCCUGCUGCCGUCACGUUGCAGAUUGAUCCGAAAUUCGGGGGAGCGAAGGAAAUUGGCUUUCGAGGCGGCCUGGUUGAAGGGGGCGUGCCUUCCACCGUCCCCGACAGUCGCCCAACUUUCCCCCUUUUGGUCACGUAGGGAAGAGCUGGGACAGUGGAGGCGACUGGGGCUUCAGUACGCUGUCGAGAACCAGCAAGUGAAGAUGUUAAAGAGAUCUUUGCCAGAGCCAGAAAUGGAAAGUACAGACUUCUGAAAAUAUCUAUUGAAAAUGAGCAACUUGUGAUUGGAUCAUAUAGUCAGCCUUCAGAUUCCUGGGAUAAGGAUUAUGAUUCCUUUGUUUUACCCCUGUUGGAGGACAAACAACCAUGCUAUAUAUUAUUCAGGUUAGAUUCUCAGAAUGCCCAGGGAUAUGAAUGGAUAUUCAUUGCAUGGUCUCCAGAUCAUUCUCAUGUUCGUCAAAAAAUGUUGUAUGCAGCAACAAGAGCAACUCUGAAGAAGGAAUUUGGAGGUGGCCACAUUAAAGAUGAAGUAUUUGGAACAGUAAAGGAAGAUGUAUCAUUACAUGGAUAUAAAAAAUACUUGCUGUCACAAUCUUCCCCUGCCCCACUGACUGCAGCUGAGGAAGAACUACGACAGAUUAAAAUCAAUGAGGUACAGACUGACGUGGGUGUGGACACUAAGCAUCAAACACUACAAGGAGUAGCAUUUCCCAUUUCUCGAGAAGCCUUUCAGGCUUUGGAAAAAUUGAAUAAUAGACAGCUCAACUAUGUGCAGUUGGAAAUAGAUAUAAAAAAUGAAAUUAUAAUUUUGGCCAACACAACAAAUACAGAACUGAAAGAUUUGCCAAAGAGGAUUCCCAAGGAUUCAGCUCGUUACCAUUUCUUUCUGUAUAAACAUUCCCAUGAAGGAGACUAUUUAGAGUCCAUAGUUUUUAUUUAUUCAAUGCCUGGAUACACAUGCAGUAUAAGAGAGCGGAUGCUGUAUUCUAGCUGCAAGAGCCGUCUGCUAGAAAUUGUAGAAAGACAACUACAAAUGGAUGUAAUUAGAAAGAUCGAGAUAGACAAUGGGGAUGAGUUGACUGCAGACUUCCUUUAUGAAGAAGUACAUCCCAAGCAGCAUGCACACAAGCAAAGUUUUGCAAAACCAAAAGGUCCUGCAGGAAAAAGAGGAAUUCGAAGACUAAUUAGGGGCCCAGCGGAAACUGAAGCUACUACUGAUUAAAGUCAUCACAUUAAACAUUGUAAUACUAGUUUUUUAAAAGUCCAGCUUUUAGUACAGGAGAACUGAAAUCAUUCCAUGUUGAUAUAAAGUAGGGAAAAAAAUUGUACUUUUUGGAAAAUAGCACUUUUCACUUCUGUGUGUUUUUAAAAUUAAUGUUAUAGAAGACUCAUGAUUUCUAUUUUUGAGUUAAAGCUAGAAAAGGGUUCAACAUAAUGUUUAAUUUUGUCACACUGUUUUCAUAGCGUUGAUUCCACACUUCAAAUACUUCUUAAAAUUUUAUACAGUUGGGCCAGUUCUAGAAAGUCUGAUGUCUCAAAGGGUAAACUUACUACUUUCUUGUGGGACAGAAAGACCUUAAAAUAUUCAUAUUACUUAAUGAAUAUGUUAAGGACCAGGCUAGAGUAUUUUCUAAGCUGGAAACUUAGUGUGCCUUGGAAAAGGCCGCAAGUUGCUUACUCCGAGUAGCUGUGCUAGCUCUGUCAGACUGUAGGAUCAUGUCUGCAACUUUUAGAAAUAGUGCUUUAUAUUGCAGCAGUCUUUUAUAUUUGACUUUUUUUUAAUAGCAUUAAAAUUGCAGAUCAGCUCACUCUGAAACUUUAAGGGUACCAGAUAUUUUCUAUACUGCAGGAUUUCUGAUGACAUUGAAAGACUUUAAACAGCCUUAGUAAAUUAUCUUUCUAAUGCUCUGUGAGGCCAAACAUUUAUGUUCAGAUUGAAAUUUAAAUUAAUAUCAUUCAAAAGGAAACAAAAAAUGUUGAGUUUUAAAAAUCAGGAUUGACUUUUUUCUCCAAAACCAUACAUUUAUGGGCAAAUUGUGUUCUUUAUCACUUCCGAGCAAAUACUCAGAUUUAAAAUUACUUUAAAGUCCUGGUACUUAACAGGCUAACGUAGAUAAACACCUUAAUAAUCUCAGUUAAUACUGUAUUUCAAAACACAUUUAACUGUUUUCUAAUGCUUUGCAUUAUCAGUUACAACCUAGAGAGAUUUUGAGCCUCAUAUUUCUUUGAUACUUGAAAUAGAGGGAGCUAGAACACUUAAUGUUUAAUCUGUUAAACCUGCUGCAAGAGCCAUAACUUUGAGGCAUUUUCUAAAUGAACUGUGGGGAUCCAGGAUUUGUAAUUUCUUGAUCUAAACUUUAUGCUGCAUAAAUCACUUAUCGGAAAUGCACAUUUCAUAGUGUGAAGCACUCAUUUCUAAACCUUAUUAUCUAAGGUAAUAUAUGCACCUUUCAGAAAUUUGUGUUCGAGUAAGUAAAGCAUAUUAGAAUAAUUGUGGGUUGACAGAUUUUUAAAAUAGAAUUUAGAGUAUUUGGGGUUUUGUUUGUUUACAAAUAAUCAGACUAUAAUAUUUAAACAUGCAAAAUAACUGACAAUAAUGUUGCACUUGUUUACUAAAGAUAUAAGUUGUUCCAUGGGUGUACACGUAGACAGACACACAUACACCCAAAUUAUUGCAUUAAGAAUCCUGGAGCAGACCAUAGCUGAAGCUGUUAUUUUCAGUCAGGAAGACUACCUGUCAUGAAGGUAUAAAAUAAUUUAGAAGUGAAUGUUUUUCUGUACCAUCUAUGUGCAAUUAUACUCUAAAUUCCACUACACUACAUUAAAGUAAAUGGACAUUCCAGAAUAUAGAUGUGAUUAUAGUCUUAAACUAAUUAUUAUUAAACCAAUGAUUGCUGAAAAUCAGUGAUGCAUUUGUUAUAGAGUAUAACUCAUCGUUUACAGUAUGUUUUAGUUGGCAGUAUCAUACCUAGAUGGUGAAUAACAUAUUCCCAGUAAAUUUAUAUAGCAGUGAAGAAUUACAUGCCUUCUGGUGGACAUUUUAUAAGUGCAUUUUAUAUCACAAUAAAAAUUUUUUCUCUUUAA